UACGGGGGGGGCAAGCGUUGUUCGGAAUUACUGGGCGUAAAGGGCUCGUAGGCGGCCAACUAAGUCGGAUGUGAAAUCCCCAGGCUCAACCUGGGAACUGCAUCCGAUACUGGAUGGCUUGAAUUCGGGAGAGGGAUGCAGAAUUCCAGGUGUAGCGGUGAAAUGCGUAGAUAUCUGGAGGAAUACCGGUGGCGAAGGCGGCAUCCUGGACCGACAUUGACGCUGAGGUGCGAAAGCGUGGGGAGCAAACAGG
rnacentral:rRNA from 1 species